GUUGAACGCUGGCGGCAGGCUUAACACAUGCAAGUCGAGCGGGGUGAUGGUGCUUGCACUAUCACUUAGCGGCGGACGGGUGAGUAAUGCUUAGGAAUCUGCCUAUUAGUGGGGGACAACAUCUCGAAAGGGAUGCUAAUACCGCAUACGUCCUACGGGAGAAAGCAGGGGAUCACUUGCGACCUUGCGCUAAUAGAUGAGCCUAAGUCGGAUUAGCUAGUUGGUGGGGUAAAGGCCUACCAAGGCGACGAUCUGUAGCGGGUCUGAGAGGAUGAUCCGCCACACUGGGACUGAGACACGGCCCAGACUCCUACGGGAGGCAGCAGUGGGGAAUAUUGGACAAUGGGGGGAACCCUGAUCCAGCCAUGCCGCGUGUGUGAAGAAGGCCUUAUGGUUGUAAAGCACUUUAAGCGAGGAGGAGGCUUUUUUGGUUAAUACCCAGGAUGAGUGGACGUUACUCGCAGAAUAAGCACCGGCUAACUCUGUGCCAGCCGCCGCGGUAA
rnacentral:rRNA from 1 species